rnacentral:rRNA from 1 species
UCGGCUUGCAGUGGGGAAUCUUGGACAAUGGGCGCAAGCCUGAUCCAGCCAUGUCGCGUGAGUGAUGAAGGCCCUAGGGUUGUAAAGCUCUUUCGCCAGGGAAGAUAAUGACGGUACCUGGAUAAGAAGCCCCGGCUAACUCCGUGCCAGCAGCCGCGGUAAUACGGAGGGGGCUAGCGUUGUUCGGAAUUACUGGGCGUAAAGCGCACGUAGGCGGCUAUCCAAGUUGGGGGUGAAAUCCCUGGGCUUAACCCAGGAACUGCCUUCAAAACUGGAUGGCUAGAGUCCGAGAGAGGUGAGUGGAAUUUCCAGUGUAGAGGUGAAAUUCGUAGAUAUUGGAAAGAACACCAGUGGGGAAGGCGGCUCACUGGCUCGGUACUGACGCUGAGGUGCGACAGCGUGGGGAGCAAACAGGAUUAGAUACCCCGGUAGUCCAAGCCGA